GUCGUGCGAGAAAGUAUCUUCGGAUAUGAGUAGAGCGGCGGACGGGUGAGUAACGCGUAGGAAUCUACCUAGUAGAAGGGGAUAGCCCGAGGAAACUCGGAUUAAUACCGUAUACCUCCUUCGGGAGAAAGAAGGCCUCUCUUUGAAGCUUUCGCUACUAGAUGAGCCUGCGUAAGAUUAGCUUGUUGGUGAGGUAAAGGCUCACCAAGGCUACGAUCUUUAGCGGGUCUGAGAGGACGAUCCGCCACAUUGGGACUGAGACACGGCCCAGACUCCUACGGGAGGCAGCAGUGGGGAAUAUUGGACAAUGGGCGAAAGCCUGAUCCAGCCAUACCGCGUGUGUGAAGAAGGCCCUAGGGUUGUAAAGCACUUUAAGUUGGGAGGAAAAGUUAUUGGUUAAUACCCAAUGACCGUGACAUUACCAUCAGAAUAAGGACCGGCUAAUUCCGUGCAGCGGCCGCGGUAAUACGGAAGGUCCAAGCGUUAAUCGGAAUUACUGGGCGUAAAGCGCGCGUAGGUGGUUUAUUAAGUUGGGUGUGAAAUCCCCGGGCUCAACCUGGGAACUGCAUCCAAAACUGAUUCACUAGAGUACGAUAGAGGGAGGUAGAAUUCACAGUGUAGCGGUGGAAUGCGUAGAUAUUGUGAAGAAUACCAAUGGCGAAGGCAGCCUCCUGGAUCUGUACUGACACUGAGGUGCGAAAGCGUGGGUAGCGAACAGGAUUAGAUACCCUGGUAGUCCACGCCGUAAACGAUGUCAACUAUCUGUUGGAAAGCAUUGCUUUUUCAGUGGAGCAGCUAACGUAAUAAGUUGACCGCUGGGGAGUACGGCCG
rnacentral:rRNA from 1 species